CUCGGUUGCCUCAAUGGAAGCUACGCCACUGCAAUUUGAUUUCACCAGAUAUGUUGGCAUACAAUCAAAUAAAGCAACAGGAACUUGCAAACAUAAGAUAUUGCCUCGUUUAGAAGCGUUCGUUAGAACUAGUGUGGUUGUCGGGUGUGCAUGUAUAUCCCCUACCAACAAUGCACGGUGAACCAGGAAUAUAUAUCUAGAAAACAUGACAAGUAUUCACACAAUGUUGUUUUAUCGUUUGAACACUUCCUGGAUUUCUUUAUGUGAUGAUGCAUGUUGAAGAUCAAAGACCCGUCACCAGACAGAAAUCUUGUGACGACAUGAUAGCCAAGUUCAGUUUUGAAGUCAUUUAACACCAUGUUUGAGUAUUAUACACAUCUAGGGGAGGUGUUCCAUUUUCAAAAAUAAGAGAAAAAAGACUUGGUGUUUAACAAUUUUCCUGAGGACAAUGCUAGUUAGUGUGUAGAAAUGAUGGAAUUUCUGAAGGCUUAAGCAUUAAAUUUCAUGAACAAAUA